UACCAGACUCCUACGGGAGGCAGCAGUGAGGGAUAUUGGUCAAUGGGGGGAACCCUGAACCAGCAACGCCGCGUGAGGGAAGACGGUUUUCGGAUUGUAAACCUCUGUCCUCUGUGAAGAUAAUGACGGUACCUGACUAAGAAGCCCCGGCUAACUACGUGCCAGCAGCCGCGGUAAUACGUAGGGGGCAAGCGUUAUCCGGAUUUACUGGGUGUAAAGGGAGCGUAGACGGCUAUGCAAGUCUGGAGUGAAAGGCGGGGGCCCAACCCCCGGACUGCUCUGGAAACUGUAGAGCUAGAGUGCAGGAGAGGUAAGUGGAAUUCCUAGUGUAGCGGUGAAAUGCGUAGAUAUUAGGAGGAACACCAGUGGCGAAGGCGGCUUACUGGACUGUAACUGACGUUGAGGCUCGAAAGCGUGGGGAGCAAACAGGAUUAGAUACCCGAGUA
rnacentral:rRNA from 1 species